CAAUUCUGCCUUCAAUCCUCCGUGGGUCGGCGGGUCGCGGUCGGCUGGAGCAAGAAAUGGCACACAAUCUCAAAGACAAGAAGCUUCUAGAAAAUGCAAGACCAGUUGUGUUGGCGGAUCCUUGCGUUAGUAUGUACAGUGCUUGAGAGUUAUCAGAAGUCAAGAGAAUUUACGGGAGUUCAUCAGCCUCAUGUCCAUCCAGAGGCCGUGCCAUGCAGCAUGUGGAAUAGUUACCCAACCAGG